rnacentral:rRNA from 1 species
UACUUAGGGGGCAAGCGUUGUCCGGAAUCAUUGGGCGUAAAGCGCGUGUAGGCGGCCCGAUAAGUCCGCUGUGAAAGUCCAGGGCUCAACCCUGGGAUGCCGGUGGAUACUGUCGGGCUCGAGUCCGGAAGAGGCGAGUGGAAUUCCUGGUGUAGCGGUGAAAUGCGCAGAUAUCAGGAGGAACACCAAUGGCGAAGGCAGCUCGCUGGGACGUGACUGACGCUGAGACGCGAAAGCGUGGGGAGCAAACAGG